rnacentral:rRNA from 1 species
GACAGAGGGUGCAAACGUUGCUCGGAAUUACUGGGCGUAAAGCGCGUGUAGGCGGACUGGUGUGUCGGAUGUGAAAUCCCCAGGCUCAACCUGGGAACUGCAUUCGAAACUGCCAGCCUUGAGUGGUGGAGAGGGAAGUGGAAUUCCUGGUGUAGAGGUGAAAUUCGUAGAUAUCAGGAGGAACACCGGUGGCGAAGGCGGGUCUCUGGGCAGUAACUGACGCUGAGGCGCGAAAGCUAGGGGAGCAAACGGG